UCGGAACUCUGAGGCGGACGUAAGCGUACCAAUCGGAGCGGAGCUUGGCCUCCGGGAGUGGAAGGCUUCCAGCGAUUACUUUCUCGUGUCUGUGGCCUGGGAGCUGCUGGGCCGGCAUGGUGCGGGGCCGGAUCACCGCGCUGGCUGUCAGCGACGUGCGCUUCCCCACCUCUCUGGGCCACCAUGGCUCCGAUGCUAUGCACCCGGACCCUGACUAUUCUGCUGCCUAUGUUGUAAUCGAAACGGAUGCGCAUGACGGACUCAAAGGUUAUGGCUUAACAUUUACAUUGGGUAAAGGCACAGAAGUUGUUGUUUGUGCUGUUAAUGCUCUCUCUACCCACGUGGUUCAUAAAGACAUGGAAGAAAUUGUCAGCAAUUUUAGAAAUUUCUACAGGCAACUCACCAGCGAUGGGCAGCUCCGAUGGAUUGGUCCAGAAAAAGGGGCUGUUCAUUUGGCAACAGCUGCCAUUCUGAAUGCUGUGUGGGAUCUGUGGGCUAAGCAGGAGGGAAAGCCUCUGUGGAAGCUACUAGUUGACAUGGAUCCCAAGCAGUUGUUAUCCUGCAUAGAUUUCAGGUAUAUCACCGAUGCACUGACAGAAGAAGAAGCUUAUGAAAUACUCGUAAAUAGCCUACUUGGGAAAAAAGAAAGAGAAGAACAGAUGUUAACACAUGGAUAUCCUGCUUACACCACCUCAUGUGCUUGGCUGGGCUACUCAGACCAGCAGUUAAAACAGCUGUGCACCAAGGCAUUGAAGGAUGGCUGGACAAGGUUCAAGGUAAAGGUUGGUACAGAUCUGCAGGAUGACAUUCAUAGAUGCAGACUCAUAAGAGAAAUGAUUGGUCCUGACAAUAUAUUGAUGCUGGAUGCUAACCAACGAUGGGAAGUGAAGGAAGCAAUAGAGUGGGUGACUAAAUUAGCUGAAUUUAAACCAUUAUGGAUUGAGGAGCCAACUUCCCCUGAUGAUAUUCUGGGUCACGCAGCUAUUUCUAAGGCCUUAGCACCAUUAGGAAUUGGCGUGGCAACAGGAGAGCAAUGCCACAAUAAAGUGAUAUUUAAACAGCUCCUACAGGCUAAAGCCCUGAGCUAUCUCCAGAUUGACAGCUGCAGACUGGGAAGUGUGAAUGAAAACUUGGCUGUGUUGCUGAUGGCCAAAAAGUUUCAAAUUCCUGUGUGUCCUCACGCUGGGGGCGUUGGGCUCUGCGAGUUAGUACAGCACUUGAUACUAUUUGACUAUAUUGCAAUAUCUGGAAGUCUUGAAAACAGGAUGUGUGAAUAUGUUGAUCACCUGCAUGAACAUUUCAAAUAUCCUGUAAUAAUCAGGAAGGCUUGCUACAUGCCACCACAGGAUGCUGGAUAUUCUACUGAAAUGAAAGAAGAUUCUACAAGGAAAUACCAGUUUCCGCAGGGAGAAGUUUGGCAGAAGCUCUUGUCUGGCCAUAAGAUAUAUCUGCAUUAAGUUUAACCAUGAAAGUUUUCAGGCUUAAAAUGAAAUUCCACAAUGUAUGCUGCUAAUGCAGCAAGACUCCAAAUGAAGAUGAACAGUUCUGUACAACUGUGGGGGAAGCCUUCAAAAAAUACAGAUCUAUUCACUAUAACGUUGCAACAAAAGUUUCAGCUGGACAGGAUAAGAGGGGAAGCAAGCAGUACAAGGAGCUUGAGAGAAUUCAACCCCUACACAUUGAUGAGAGAUGUCCUACUGAUUUGCAUAAGUGUGCAUAGGACACACAAGUACUUGUCCUGCAAAUGUUAGUAAAUAUGUGAAAAGCUUUAUUUGUUCAUUAGUUGUGUACAUAAAAACAAGUUGGUCUGACGAGCAGCUCUGUGAAAGGUAGUAAUCUCAUCUGUUAAAGUUAGUUGUGGGAAAACAUGAGACAUUGACCAAGUCUGGCACUUUGUAAACUCCUCAAAUUUAGACAGAACUACAACCUGCCUUGCUGUCUACUAGCUCACCUGGCCAGACCAAGAAUUUAGAAAGCAAACCAAGAUGCUAUAAAGGACAGCAUUUAAAAAAAAACUUAAAAGUAUAGCUGUGUACAAAAAGGUACUUCUAUUUAGUACCAGCAUUUAGUACAAACUGAGCAAGUCUACACAAGAUGCUAAAGACAUGGACUAGUUUUACUGUGCAUUAGCAUGGCCAGCAAAAACCAUGGUAAUGCAGAGUAGAAUUAUUCUCUUGUGCAUUACUGUAAUGGAAAGAGCAAGCACUGAUGCUGCUGCUCAGUAGCGCUGAUUAUGAUGCAUUAAGCUAGUACCUGUAAUUACAGGUACUAUCAUUAAUGCACCGUAAUUACAGCGCAUUAAUAAGUGGGCACAUCUACACAUUCAGUAACAAACCUUCAAGAUGUAUCACUCUAACAAAUAAUAUAUUUAUAAAACCAGAUUUAUUAAA